CAGGGGAAAAUAAUUUUAUCAAACAGAACAGCAAGAAUGAUUACACUUUUCUACACUCUUUUGUUGCAUUGCUUAAUAUUUCUGGUUUUAUAUAAAUUGGCAUAUACUGAAUCAUGUAAAAGAGAUCUAUCUUCAGAAUGUAAUGCUCGAUUUGCUGACCAUAUGGAAAAAGUUCAUGGAGAAACCAUGAUAUGAAUGAAUGAUAAUAUUAACAGAAAUAUAUAAUUUUAAUAUUUAGUUCAUUUUAAAAAAUGAUUAUAUCUGUGUUGAAAAUUUGAUAAUUAAU